CUUCGGGAAACCGGAGCUAAUACCGGAUAAUAUUUUGAACCGCAUGGUUCAAAAGUGAAAGACGGUCUUGCUGUCACUUAUAGAUGGAUCCGCGCUGCAUUAGCUAGUUGGUAAGGUAACGGCUUACCAAGGCAACGAUGCAUAGCCGACCCGAGAGGGUGAUCGGCCACACUGGAACUGAGACACGGUCCAG
rnacentral:rRNA from 1 species